AUCUCUGGUGCACGACAGCGAGAGAGCGCAAAUUGUUUCGCUAAAUUGCGCGCUUAACGAUCGACGCUUAUCAAGGGAUGAUUCAAUGGGACCUGGAGCAUUGAAACGCGCAUAAGCUCCAUCGCAGAAAUGUCAAGCAGAGCGAGAGGGAAUCAAAACUUGAAAAUAAAGUAAUCGCGUAGCUAAAAUAUCGUCGAAAAUUUUCGUACAUACAUAUAGAUAUUCUAUAUAAGAAUUCAUGCAGAGUAAUAAAAAUUUGUCGAAACUUUGAAAGAGAGAAAGAAGACGAAUAUACAUAUGUAUGUCUCAAGCAUUGAAUGAUGGUGGGGAAACGUUUCUUGUGUCUUUAGGAAUGUGUACAUAAAUUGUAAAUAGAAAAAAGACAAACGUAUGUGUAUCUACGUCGGAACAGCUCUUUGCGUUACCUAUGAAGUAAAUAAAAGAAUGAAAACAUUUUCCUUUGGUGUGUAUUCAAAGGUCAAAA